CCGAACUCCCCCCAUCUCCUCCUACAACCGCCGCCACACCCGGCGACCACCCUCCUCAGCCGCCUCUGCUAUUUCCCACCAGCCGUUGUUCGCCAAAAACCAGCAGUAGCAGCUCGCCGGAAUCCAAACACUACCCUUCAACUCCACCCAUCUCCAUCUCUCCACAGUCGCACACACCAGACCAGAAACGAAGCAUCUGGAAUACUCUAAGGGACGGUCAUAGAGAGUAAAGAAUGGAGUCCUUUCAUCUCCAAGUGACAGUAGCUUAUAAAAUUAGCUAUUUAUAUUGACGUUAUAGCUUAUUCUUCUUCUUCUUCUGAUUUUCAAUUUUGAAACCAUGGAGUCCGAUGGAGUUUGAUUAAGGCCAUUUUGGUUUUGAGCUUUCCGAUGACGAUUCGAGUUCCGUCCGUGGUUCGUUACAUUUUUGAGUUUAAAGUAGUGCAACAAUCAAUUUUUAUCUAUAUAAAGGUAUGGAUCCAUUUGUCAAAGCUUUAGCAUGAUGGACGCCUCAGGACCGUCUAGUCACGACCGUUGCAUACAUGAGCUGCUUGUGGAUACUUUUAUGUUUUGAAUCUAUCAUUCAUGUUGUCUUUUACUUUCUAGUCUUGUACAGUAGUGUCGAGUGUUUUAGGUGAUGUCAAAGUUUGUUGUAGUCAAGUUGAGUUUGUUGAGUUUUU